CUGUAUGAACGAAAAACCUUUCCUGUGCCCCAACUUAAGAUUGACCAAUGUAAAACAAGGUCCCCACUUUGAAUUGAGUUUCCUGUGGCUGCAUGUGGACAUUUUGCAUCUCUGUGAAUCAGUAUAAAUUGUCCUAUCAAUCACUUCUGGAAAUAGAAUCAACUUCUGUCAUUCUGGACAUGGUAAGGAUAUGUGCAACCUAUCUACAUCUGCAUGUUGAAAGUUCUGUAAAUAAGUUACAUAAACAAACAGAAGAUGGACUCAGUGAAGUGAUCCAGAUGAAGAUUUCCAAGGGUCAACAAUAAAUGCACAAAUGCAAAAAGAUACAGUGAGCUCUGAAGUGGACGGAAAUGACAGGAAGAGUUAAAAGAUAUUGUAACUGUACUGAAAAAAGAACUGGUAUUAUCAACAUAUGAUGAAUAUUCUACCGAAUGCCAACAAAAACUAUAAGCCAUUAUUGCAG